rnacentral:lncRNA from 1 species
GUUGAGCCUUGAGGUCUUCUGCCCAUGGCUGCUUCUCUGCACAUUCCCGACAUCAGUAUUAACUCCAGCUUACCUUUAGCACCAUUUCCUCUCCCUCUGGUUUCAGGCAGGUCUGGAAUUGCCUCCAAAUGUGGUUUUCAGGGGGUCAGGUUUCUCAUCUUUCCAGGGCUUCCCCCAGCCCACCCUGAGUCUGGAUGAAGACCUCAGUGCCCCGUGAGGCCUCGCUCCCCUGAUCCCAGUUAGGAACCCUAGUGACCCCCGCCUGCGCCGCUGGUGGCGGGGGAGAGGGCGGAGAGUGUGCGAGCCCCUGUUCUCAGCUGAGCUUAGGCUCCCACUUGUCAAGCUGAGAACCGCUUUGUUCUAGGAGCCCUUUGGUUAAGUCAAGGGCAGAAUCCAAUCACACCAUUUUAUGUAAAUUGACCGGAAUAACGAUCCACCUAGAUGCUGAUUUUCUCAUCGAGCCAUAGCUAGUGGUUCUGUUUGCACGUGAAGAUGAUUCUGAUCCUGUCUGCCAUUACCUUGAACUUCUUUCUAAAGUCGUGUUUAUUUUGCACAUUUUCACUGUGGGAAAAUACUUCAUAAUCUGGCCAUCCAG